rnacentral:misc_RNA from 1 species
AAGUCGUAACAAGGUAACCGUAGGUGAACCUGCGGUUGGAUCAUUACUGAUUACAACUUGGCCUGGGGUUGAGCUCUAACGAGUUCCUCCAGUGUCAUACACACUUUGUGAACUUUUGUGUAUUUGGGUUGUUUUUCUCUUAGAGUCUUAUUGGGGUAACCCAGUCAGUACUGAGAGAAGGCAGCCCAGCAAAUUUAACAAACCUUUAUUCUUUUGACUGAAAUCUCUAUGUAAAUAGAAACAACUUUUGACAACGGAUCUCUUGGCUCUC